rnacentral:rRNA from 1 species
UAACGCGUGGGUAACCUGCCUUAUACAGGGGAGUAACAGUCAGAAAUGGCUGCUAAUACCGCAUAAGCGCACAGAGCUGCAUGGCUCAGUGUGAAAAACUCCGGUGGUAUAAGAUGGACCCGCGUUGGAUUAGCUGGUUGGUGGGGUAACGGCCCACCAAGGCGACGAUCCAUAGCCGGCCUGAGAGGGUGAACGGCCACAUUGGGACUGAGACACGGCCCAG